rnacentral:rRNA from 1 species
GCAGUCGAACGGUAACAUAAAGAAGCUUGCUUCUUUGAUGACGAGUGCCGUACGGGUGAGUAAUACUUGGGAAUCUAGCUUAUGGAGGGGGAUAACUACGGGAAACUGUAGCUAAUACCGCGUAGAAUCGAGAGAUGAAAGUGUGGGACCUUCGGGCCACAUGCCAUAGGAUGAGCCCAAGUGGGAUUAGGUAGUUGGUGAGGUAAAGGCUCACCAAGCCGACGAUCUCUAGCUGGUCUGAGAGGAUGACCAGCCACACUGGGACUGAGACACGGCCCAGACUCCUACGGGAGGCAGCAGUGGGGAAUAUUGCGCAAUGGGGGCAACCCUGACGCAGCCAUGCCGCGUGAAUGAAGAAGGCCUUCGGGUUGUAAAGUUCUUUCGGUAGCGAGGAAGGCAUUUAGUUUAAUAGACUAGGUGAUUGACGUUAACUACAGAAGAAGCACCGGCUAACUCCGUGCCAGCAGCCGCGGUAAUACGGAGGGUGCGAGCGUUAAUCGGAAUAACUGGGCGUAAAGGGCACGCAGGCGGUGACUUAAGUGAGGUGUGAAAGCCCCGGGCUUAACCUGGGAAUUGCAUUUCAUACUGGGUCGCUAGAGUACUUUAGGGAGGGGUAGAAUUCCACGUGUAGCGGUGAAAUGCGUAGAGAUGUGGAGGAAUACCGAAGGCGAAGGCAGCCCCUUGGGAAUGUACUGACGCUCAUGUGCGAAAGCGUGGGGAGCAAACAGGAUU